AUAGGAAGGAACUCGGCAACAUGAACUUCGCCUGUUUUUUUAAAACAUCGCCUCUUGCAAUUAAGGGAUAGAGGUCCUGCCUGGCCCAGUGGACAUUAAGGUUUAACGGCCGCGGUAUUAUGACCGUGCAAAGGUAGCGUAAUCACUUGUCUUUUAAAUAAAGACCAGUAUGAAUGGCAAGACGAAAGUUCAACUGUCUCCCUAAAUUAAUCAGUGAAAUUGUUUUCUCCGUGCAGAAGCGGAGAUAAAAUUAUAAGACGAGAAGACCCUAUCGGAGCUUAAACAUAUAAUCAAUUGUAUUCAAUAAAAUCCGAAAGAUAAAAUAUAAAAUAAAACAAUAUGAUUAAAAUUUUAGGUUGGGGGCGACCACGGAGAAAAACAAAACCUCCGAGAUGAAAAGAAUAUCUUAAUUUAAGAACCACAAUUCCAAAAAAUAAAAUAUUUAACAUAAUUGAUCCAAUAUUUUGAUCAACGAACCAAGUUACCCUAGGGAUAACAGCGCAAUCCUCUCCAAGAGUCCCUAUCGACGAGUGGGUUUACGACCUCGAUGUUGGAUCAGAACACCCCGAAUGGUGCAGAAGCUAUUAAAGGUUCGUUGUUCAACGAUUAAAGUCCUACUGCGUUCUGAGUUCAGA
rnacentral:rRNA from 1 species